CGGCGUGCCUAAUACAUGCAAGUAGAACGCUGAAGAGAGGAGCUUGCUCUUCUUGGAUGAGUUGCGAACGGGUGAGUAACGCGUAGGUAACCUGCCUUGUAGCGGGGGAUAACUAUUGGAAACGAUAGCUAAUACCGCAUAACAAUGGAUGACACAUGUCAUUUAUUUGAAAGGGGCAAUUGCUCCACUACAAGAUGGACCUGCGUUGUAUUAGCUAGUAGGUGAGGUAACGGCUCACCUAGGCGACGAUACAUAGCCGACCUGAGAGGGUGAUCGGCCACACUGGGACUGAGACACGGCCCAGACUCCUACGGGAGGCAGCAGUAGGGAAUCUUCGGCAAUGGGGGCAACCCUGACCGAGCAACGCCGCGUGAGUGAAGAAGGUUUUCGGAUCGUAAAGCUCUGUUGUAAGUCAAGAACGAGUGUGAGAGUGGAAAGUUCACACUGUGACGGUAGCUUACCAGAAAGGGACGGCUAACUACGUGCCAGCAGCCGCGGUAAUACGUAGGUCCCGAGCGUUGUCCGGAUUUAUUGGGCGUAAAGCGAGCGCAGGCGGUUUGAUAAGUCUGAAGUUAAAGGCUGUGGCUCAACCAUAGUUCGCUUUGGAAACUGUCAAACUUGAGUGCAGAAGGGGAGAGUGGAAUUCCAUGUGUAGCGGUGAAAUGCGUAGAUAUAUGGAGGAACACCGGUGGCGAAAGCGGCUCUCUGGUCUGUAACUGACGCUGAGGCUCGAAAGCGUGGGGAGCGAACAGGAUUAGAUACCCUGGUAGUCCACGCCGUAAACGAUGAGUGCUAGGUGUUGGAUCCUUUCCGGGAUUCAGUGCCGCAGCUAACGCAUUAAGCACUCCGCCUGGGGAGUACGACCGCAAGGUUGAAACUCAAAGGAAUUGACGGGGGCCCGCACAAGCGGUGGAGCAUGUGGUUUAAUUCGAAGCAACGCGAAGAACCUUACCAGGUCUUGACAUCCCGAUGCUAUUUCUAGAGAUAGAAAGUUACUUCGGUACAUCGGUGACAGGUGGUGCAUGGUUGUCGUCAGCUCGUGUCGUGAGAUGUUGGGUUAAGUCCCGCAACGAGCGCAACCCCUAUUGUUAGUUGCCAUCAUUCAGUUGGGCACUCUAGCGAGACUGCCGGUAAUAAACCGGAGGAAGGUGGGGAUGACGUCAAAUCAUCAUGCCCCUUAUGACCUGGGCUACACACGUGCUACAAUGGUUGGUACAACGAGUUGCGAGUCGGUGACGGCAAGCUAAUCUCUUAAAGCCAAUCUCAGUUCGGAUUGUAGGCUGCAACUCGCCUACAUGAAGUCGGAAUCGCUAGUAAUCGCGGAUCAGCACGCCGCGGUGAAUACGUUCCCGGGCCUUGUACACACCGCCCGUCACACCACGAGAGUUUGUAACACCCGAAGUCGGUGAGGUAACCUUUUGGAGCCAGCCGCCUAAGGUGGGAUAGAUGAUUGGGGUGAAGUC
rnacentral:rRNA from 1 species